UCUGUCAUAAAAUCAUGUUCAUGUUUGGAGCAGUUGGUCUUGUUUUGUUGAACUCUGGUACACUGACAGCAGAACUGAUCCUGAAAGCACGAAAUGGUGAGCAUGUCGUGAAGGAUCUGAGAGUCGUAGUAUUUCUCUCUGAAUGUGUUUUUGUCUUAUAUUGGAUGAUUUUACAAAUAUGUGCUUUCUAUUAAGCCUGGAUUUAUAUGUAAACAAGGGAACUGACUUCAAUGAUGCAGAUUUCAUCUCAGGGUAAUGUAAUUAUUAUCAUGUUACAAUGUUUAGGCUGAUCUGCAGUAUAAGGCUUUAAAAGAUGUGUUCAGUUGUAUAGAUGCCAGUUUCUUCUUGUUUCUUUCAAAAACACAGAGUACA